UCAGACGAUGCGUCAUGCAUAUCAAUAAGCGGAGGAAAAGAAACUAACAAGGAUUCCCUUAGUAACGGCGAGUGAAGCGGGAAGAGCUCAAAUUUGAAAUCUUCAAGGUUAUACCUUGACGAAUUGUAGUUUAAAGAAGUGUUUUCUGCUGAAGUUUUGGUAAAAGUUCUUUGGAAUAGGACAUCAUAGAGGGUGAGAAUCCCGUAUUUGACCAUUAUUUUCAGCUUUGUGAUACACUUUCAAAGAGUCGGAUUGUUUGGGAAUGCAGUCCAAAAUGGGUGGCUAAAUUUCAUCUAAAGCUAAAUAUUGGCGAGAGACCGAUAGCGAACAAGUACCGUGAGGGAAAGACGAAAAGAACUUUGAAAAGAGAGUUAAACAGUACGUGAAAUUGUCAAAAGGGAAGCGUUUGACACCAGUGUUGUUUUCUCGAAAAUCAAUUAAAAAUGGCUCGAUUUUGUAUUGUUGAGACCUUAAAAGCUCACUGUACAUUUUUCGUGUCUUUUUUAAUGCACUUUUCGUUUAACAAGUCAACAUCAGUUUCUUUUGUUGUAAAAGGGUCAUUGGAAGGUGGCUUUCUUUUCGGAGAAAGUGUUUAUAGCCUUUGGCCUCUGCAAUCGGAGAGACUGAGGUCUGCAGCGUAGACUCUUCGGGGUUAGAUACAUUUGUGCUAAGUUAUAGCUUUUUAUAGACAACUUGUUGACUAUAAUUAGUCUUGUAGCUUACUCGCUUAUGCUAUUUUACCUACGCUUAGGAUGUUGAACUACUGAGACAUAGA
rnacentral:rRNA from 1 species